rnacentral:rRNA from 1 species
UACGAAGGGGGCGAGCGUUGUUCGGAAUUACUGGGCGUAAAGGGCUCGUAGGUGGCCAACUAAGUCAGACGUGAAAUCCCUCGGCUUAACCGGGGAACUGCGUCUGAUACUGGAUGGCUUGAGUUCGGGAGAGGGAUGCGGAAUUCCAGGUGUAGCGGUGAAAUGCGUAGAUAUCUGGAGGAACACCGGUGGCGAAGGCGGGUCUCUGGGCAGUAACUGACGCUGAGGAGCGAAAGCGUGGGGAGCGAACAGG